rnacentral:tRNA from 2 species
GGGCCAUAGCUCAGCUGGGAGAGCGCUACGCUGGCAGCGUAGAGGUCAGGGGUUCGAGCCCCCUUGGCUCCA